rnacentral:rRNA from 1 species
GACGAACGCUGGCGGCGUGCUUAACACAUGCAAGUCGAACGGAAAGGCCCUGCUUUUGUGGGGUGCUCGAGUGGCGAACGGGUGAGUAACACGUGAGUAACCUGCCCUUGACUUUGGGAUAACUUCAGGAAACUGGGGCUAAUACCGGAUAGGAGCUCCUGCUGCAUGGUGGGGGUUGGAAAGUUUCGGCGGGUGGGGAUGGACUCGCGGCUUAUCAGCUUGUUGGUGGGGUAGUGGCUUACCAAGGCUUUGACGGGUAGCCGGCCUGAGAGGGUGACCGGCCACAUUGGGACUGCGAUACGGCCCAGACUCCUACGGGAGGCAGCAGUGGGGAAUAUUGUACAAUGGGCGGAAGCGUGAUGCAGCAGCGUCGCGUGCGGGAUGACGGCCUUCGGGGUGUAAACCGCUUCCGCCUGUGACGAAGCGUGAGUGACGGUAAUGGGUAAAGAAGCACCGGCUAACUACGUG